rnacentral:lncRNA from 1 species
CGACUUUUUUUUUCCCCUCUCCGACCCUCCUCCGUCGCCUCUGACGACGACAGCUAUCUUAUCCUCUCUCGCCCUUCUCGCCCUUUCCCUCUCCCUCCUCCUUCGCCUCCUCCGUCGUUUUCGACGACGACACUUCUCCGCCGACAUCGGCACAGCGGAGGUCGCUGCGGCGCCGCAGCCUCGGAACGGGGGGUCUUUAGCGACAUCAUCGCUGGCGCCGUGGCCGUUGGCGGAGAGGCGUGAAAAAAAAAUUGUAGAAGAGAAAGAAAAAAAAAAUAAAGACAAAAUUAUAUAAGAAGUAAGAAGAUAAUAAAAUUGCACUAUUAAAAUAAGAUUACACUGUUUUAAAAUAAAUUUACACUGUUUUAAUAAAAAUUACACUAUUGGAUAUAGAAAUUACACUCUUUUGGAAUGGAUUUUACACUCUUAAGGCUAACAUUGCACUAUUUAGGAGAAUUUUGCACCUUUUAGUUUUCUUUUCUUUUUCUCUUUCUCUUCUCUUCUUCUUCCGCUGGUGCCUCUCGCCCGACCCGCGAAGGCGUGGUGGGGGCUAUCGCCAAGCUCGAGAAGGUCCCUUCCCGUCGUCAAGAGCCUCAUCGAGCUCGGCGAUAGCCCCCACUGCACCUUCGCGGGCUGGGCGGGAGGCAGGAGCGGAAGAAGAAGAAAACGAAGAAGAAAAAGAGAAAUAGAAAAAGAAAAGGAAAAUAAAUGGUGCAAAAUUUUCCUAAAUAGUGCAACAUUAGCCUUAAGAGUGUAAAAUCCAUUCCAAAAGAGUGUAAUUUCUAUAUCAAAUAGUGCAAUUUUCAUUAAAACAGUGCAAAUUUGUUUUAAAACAGUGUAAUCUUAUUUUAACAGUGCAAUUUUAUCAUCUUUUUUCUUCUUAUAUAAUUUUUUGCCUUUAUUUUUUUUCUUCUUCCUCUAUAAUUUGUUUUGUCACGCCUCUCUGCCAACGGCCACGGCACCGGCGACGAUGCCGCUAAAGACGCCUCGCUCCGAGGCUGCGGCGCCGCAGCGACCUCCACUGCGCCGAUGUCGACGGAGAAGGGUCGUCAUCGAAAACGGCGGAGGAGGCGAAUGAGGAGGGAGAGGGAAAGGGCGACAAGGGCGAGAGAGGGUGAGAUAGGCGUCGUCGUCGAAGGCGGUGGAGGAGGGUUAGAG